GCAUACAGUUAAAUCCCAUUGUACAUUCAAUGGUUUUACUCUAGUGGAAUUUUACAAUAAAACCCAGGCUAUCAUGUUUUGUUUUUAUUUUUAAAAAGACUAGAUAGUAUUUACACCUUUUCCUCUUAAUAUAGCUAGAAAAAUCUCCUCCUUUUAUGUUUCUGUGAUUGCAAAUGUCAAACAAAUAUGUCAAAUGGGAAAAAUAGUUUUCUUUUGUUGCUUUCCAGAUAUACGCUAUAGGAAACAAACAAGAUUCAGAAGCAAAUUGAACAUCCAUAUUGAUCCAAACCAAAUUGAGCUGUUCUCUAUAUUUUGUUUUUGUUUAUUGAAAGUGUUUAUAAAACAAGUUGUAUACUUCUCUCUCUCUUCUAAAAAGUGGAAUGAGUUCCUUAUUUACUUCCCAUAAGUUUUUCUUCCUGUUAGCAUGCAUUAUGCAUGCAGAAACCAUAAGAUUUGGAUGCAUGCUUUAAUAUGAAGUUAAAAUGCACAUAAUACUUUGUCAUUAAAACCGCCCCCACUUUUAUUAUCCUCCAAAUUCUAUCUCCCUGGAGAAGUAUGAAACAUAACUGUAGCAGUCAAUUUAAAGAGAUUUACUGAAAUUAAAAAAUGUAAUCCUGUACUUCCUGUACUUUAUCCCUCUAAUAACAUUGACAUAAUGGAUAAAAAUAUUCAAAAUACCAUUCUUUAAAUAGCAAAACUGAGCAUUUUAACUAGUGUCUUGGAUCCAUUCUCCUUGUUAAAAAGCCCAAUUCUAUCUUCAAGUUUCACUAUCUGAAUAAGGAGAGGAUUGCUAUUAUGAACUCCUUUAUGCCUGAAGAAGAAAAUGGCGUGCCGGCAUAGUAGAUUUAGAUUUACUGAGAAUGUCAUCAAGAAAUUUUCUACAUGGGCAUAGCAAACCAUAGUCAGUGAACAGUUGAUCUUGGAUGUUUUCACAAUAUUCCUCCACCAAAUAUUAUGGGAUAAGCCAGUUUAACCCCAAUUAUCAAACAUCUGAAACUCUGCCUGAAACUCUUGAGCAUCCCCACAACUUUGGUGCAAUGUGGACAGCAGCACUGGGAAUUAUUUGGAUUAGUUUCCUAUCUGUAUGGAUAAUCACAGCCUUCAUCUUUUCCCUGCAGUGAUCAGUUCAACAAAAAGGGGAGAUUUGACCUUUCUUUCUCGUCAUGUAGGUGACUACACUGAUGUUAGCACAGGACAUUUAUGAUGGCUAAGAGUGCUGUUGCAACUAUUUGGGAGUGGCAACAGCAACAUGGGCAGUAAGAUAAUGAUUCAAUGGGGCUGACAUGGUUUGUGCUAGCUGGACUAUCUGGACUCUGAUACAUUAUCAAAGCAAUUGUGAUUAUAUGUGUAGCCACCCCUGGAACCAACCUGCAGCAUUUCUGUUCUAGACUAACCCCAGAAUAACCAGCCAAUGUAGAUGAGACUGAAGACAGAAUACUGUACAAGUACUAAGACCCAUAAAAGCAGAGCACACUCAGGGCCCUUACAGACAGGCCCAAAAUGCAGAACAUGUCUUGGGUUUACCUGAGGAAUGCAAAUGACACCUCAGGAAACUCAACUUAUUCCGGAGUAACAAGGGAUUUCCCAGUUUACUCCAGAUGAAUUAGACACUUGGAAAGAUCCUGACAUUAAUAUAAUGUUAUGGUUGAGCCUUAUGGCUCCGAUACUGGGAGACGUGGUCGUAAGACUCCUUGGGAGUCAGACUCUCUUGAGGAGCGAGAAAGGAAACGGCUGCGGGACUUAUUUGCAGAACCAACUGAUGAAGACUCCUUUGAGGGUUUUACCGAGGGAAUGGAGGAAGAGAUGGUUAGCUCAGAGGAGGAUGAUAUGGAAUGGACUCGUGUGAGGGAGGAUUUGGGUGCCACCGGCAAUGAUAGUAUGGGAGGCGACUGGGGGGUUGCAGGAUUAGACCCGUGGACGAGCUGGAGGGAUGGGACGGGAUCCACAGCUGGGGAUGCUGUGGGGCGUAGUCAAAGGUGUUUUAGUUCUGAUGAGGAGGAUGAUGAUGAGGCACCUGGAAUUAGGGUAACAGCUGACAGCGAUGAGGAGUUGUAAACUGGCAUAAAAUGGGGUUUAGAAUCCAGGGCUAAUUGCGUUGGGCAAGGUAAUCUGGACGAACGCUUGGGCUCUUGUUGGGAAUUUCCUGAAGACGGGUGUGAUUCGUUUGCUGAAUACCUUGGACCUCCGUCGUCUUUUUGACGGACAUUAAUUGCCUACUCUGGAUUGACGCUGGACUGACUGACUGACUGACUGACUACGACCUUGGACUAUCCCUUCUGUGAUUAUCGGUGGAUCUGGUGAACUAAAGACGUCUGUACCUGGCCUUCGACCUUGGACCGGAUUGGGACCCCGCUGACUGCUUCUGCCCUGAUUGAUGUGUUUGGACCCGGAGUUUGCUUGCUGCACGGAGGAGUAACAACUUAGUUAAUCAACCACAGCUGUUGAGUAGCAGAGAGUAAUCUGCUGCCAGUUAUUUAUGUUUCAUUGAAUCUUAGUUUACCAGUUUUUGUUUGUUUUAAGAGCCAGGCUGAAGUAAGCAUUUUUGGUUUAACCCGGAUUAAACUCCCGUUUAAUCCGGGUUAUCUUUUGAACUGUUUUUUAGUGUCUUUUCAUAUUGAAGGCGAGUCUUUGCCUAGCCCUUUGUCUUUUACGGGCAUUUUUGGUUCUGUAUCUUUAAUAAACUGUGUUGAAUCUUA